rnacentral:rRNA from 1 species
UACGUAGGGUGCAAGCGUUGUCCGGAAUUAUUGGGCGUAAAGAGCUCGUAGGCGGUCUGUCGCGUCUGCUGUGAAAACUCGGGGCUUAACCCCGGGCCUGCAGUGGGUACGGGCAGACUAGAGUGCGGUAGGGGAGACUGGAAUUCCCGGUGUAGCGGUGAAAUGCGCAGAUAUCAGGAGGAACACCGGUGGCGAAGGCGGGUCUCUGGGCAGUAACUGACGCUGAGGAGCGAAAGCGUGGGGAGCGAACAGG